AAGGAUCAUUACCGAACCGUCAACAAGGGUUGUUGCUGGUCCCUGUAUGGGGGCAUGUGCACGCUCUUGUUUACACAUCCACCCACACCUGUGCACCCUCUGUAGUUCUAUGGCCUGGGGGGGCUCUGCCCUCCUGCCAUGGCUCUACGUCUUUACACACACACCACGAAAAAGUCUCAUGGAAUGUAUGUAGCGUUUAACGCAAUGAAAUACAACUUUCAGCAACGGAUCUCUUGGCUCUC
rnacentral:misc_RNA from 1 species